GGGGAAUAUUGCACAAUGGGCGCAAGCCUGAUGCAGCGACGCCGCGUGGGGGAUGACGGCCUUCGGGUUGUAAACUCCUUUCGCCAGGGACGAAGCGCAAGUGACGGUACCUGGAGAAGAAGCACCGGCCAACUACGUGCCAGCAGCCGCGGUAAUACGUAGGGUGCGAGCGUUGUCCGGAAUUACUGGGCGUAAAGAGCUCGUAGGCGGUUUGUCACGUCGUCUGUGAAAUCCUGCAACUCAAUUGUAGGCGUGCAGGCGAUACGGGCAGACUUGAGUACUACAGGGGAGACUGGAAUUCCUGGUGUAGCGGUGAAAUGCGCAGAUAUCAGGAGGAACACCGGUGGCGAAGGCGGGUCUCUGGGUAGUAACUGACGCUGAGGAGCGAAAGCGUGGGGAGCGAAC
rnacentral:rRNA from 1 species